UCGGUACUCCACUCUACAGCCUAAACUCGUCGACCUCGACGCAUAACUGAGAUGUCCUGUGCUAACGUUAUCCAACUCCUAGUUUAGCAAUUCCCUUUGUCUCCAAACUACAUGCAAUACUAGAUAGCUAGCUAUGUCUACAACCUCUAAAGUUGUACUGGGCGUGUCUGUGAUACUUACGGUGAGCACCGUUGCCGGAGUGCAUCUCAAGCAAAACUGGGACCAAGAGAGACUUCAUGCGGGAGUACUUAGAGACAUUGAACGUUUGGAGAGGAAGAGAGAGAACCUGCGAGUGCUCGAGCAACAAAGAAGUCUGACCAAGGAGCUCAAGGCAGAGCGCGAUAGGAGAGAAUCUGGGCAGCAGGGCUCCGAUCAACCCCAGGCAUAACAACUUCUUUGACAGCCUUCACAAUUGUUAUGUAGCCACGUGUAGUGUAGUAUGGUUAAUGAGUAGACUGUCUGACUCCACCUGGUUAUGAUGGAAAGCGGUGGUGAGCAGAGGGGCCAAGUGGAAGAUGAGGCCAUGUGCACCUCUGCCUCGGAGGGGC